rnacentral:lncRNA from 12 species
CAGCACUGGCAGCCACAUCCUCUGGGACCUGUGAGAUGUGAGAUGACGUGCACUGAGCAGAGGAGAUAAGGAGCUGUCCCAGGAGGAAAGUGGUGUGGGAGAACAGCAAACCAGCACAGCAAGGCUCCCCAGGAUCUGAGUUUCCUUCCUGCUGGAAAAGCAGCAGCAGGGGAGGGUAAAGCCCCUUGCCCACAAACUACUCACUUGCAAACUACUUACUCAUUUUCCCUCCUCUCUUAGUUCAAAGGCUUAAGCUAAAUUCAUGGCAAUCUGUCCC